AUGGCUGGAUCCGGACACGGGCGUGGAGGCCGUGGCCGUGGCGGGUCACCGCCGCGCAAGAUCUUGCACGUCGACACGGAGGCCAGUAGCUCGCUUUUCGCCCCCGUUGAACCUUGGCAGUCAGAGCAGGCGUGGCAGCGCGUCCUCCUCUCCCAUAGCGGUGGGCAGUCAGCUUGGCCCCACUUCAACAGGCUCCACGAGGAGCUCUACCGGCAGACCCUGUCUUGCCGCAACGCGGAGAUGGAGUUCCUUGCCGGGGCGAGCGCCGUCGAGGCCGGAGAACCAGGGGCCGUUGAGAGGCUUGCCGCGGCGAAGGAGGAGCGCGCCUUCGUCAAUGCUUGCCGCCGCUCGGCAGAGGUGUUCUUCCUUGGAGUCAAGGACUGA
rnacentral:rRNA from 1 species